GACUGGAUCGUGGCCUAGAGGCACAGCGUCGGCUUGGCAUGCGGAAGAUUCCAGGUUCAAUUUCUGGUUUCUCCAGUUA
rnacentral:tRNA from 1 species